GAGUUUGAUCCUGGCUCAGAUUGAACGCUGGCGGCAGGCCUAACACAUGCAAGUCGAGCGGAAACGACGGAGUGCUUGCACUCCGGGCGUCGAGCGGCGGACGGGUGAGUAACGCGUGGGAAUCUACCCUUUGGCGGGGGAUAGCCCGGGGAAACUCGGAUUAAUACCGCAUACGCCCUUUUGGGGAAAGACGGCCUCUGUUUCAUGCUGUCGCCGAAGGAUGAGCCCGCGUCAGAUUAGCUAGUUGGUGGGGUAAAGGCCUACCAAGGCUGCGAUCUGUAGCUGGUCUGAGAGGAUGAUCAGCCACAUCGGGACUGAGACACGGCCCGAACUCCUACGGGAGGCAGCAGUGGGGAAUCUUGGACAAUGGGCGCAAGCCUGAUCCAGCCAUGCCGCGUGUGUGAAGAAGGCCUUCGGGUUGUAAAGCACUUUCAGCGAGGAGGAAAAGGCAGGUGUUAAUACCACCCUGUUUGACGGUACCCGCAAA
rnacentral:rRNA from 1 species